GCGAACGCUGGCGGCAGGCCUAACACAUGCAAGUCGAACGAAGCCUUCGGGCUUAGUGGCGGACGGGUGAGUAACACGUGGGAACGUACCUUUUGGUUCGGAAUAACGCAGAGAAAUUUGCGCUAAUACCGGAUGAGCCCUUCGGGGGAAAGAUUUAUCGCCGAAAGAUCGGCCCGCGUGGGAUUAGGUAGUUGGUGUGGUAAAGGCCUACCAAGGCGACGAUCCUUAGCUGGUCUGAGAGGAUGAUCAGCCACCCUGGGACUGAGACACGGCCCAGACUCCUACGGGAGGCAGCAGUAGGGAAUAUUGGACAGUGGGCGAAAGCCUGAUCCAGCAAUGCCGCGUGAGUGAUGAAGGCCUUAGGGUUGUAAAGCUCUUUUACCCGGGAUGACAAUGACAGUACCGGGAGAAUAAGCUCCGGCUAACUCCGUGCCAGCAGCCGCCGUAAAAC
rnacentral:rRNA from 1 species